CCGUAAAUGCGCCUCGACGGUCCUUCAUCCGCAACGAUGGAGGCUAAGAGGGAAUGCGGUGCGCCUGCGACGGGCUACUCCGCAGCUGUCCCCGCAACUGUAACCGGUUAGUGCGCGCCAUGCGCCACUGGAGCGAUAGCUUCGGGAAGGCGGCGCGAACGGUGAGCCGGAAGCCAGGAGACCUGCCGUCGACGUAUCGUACUC
rnacentral:ncRNA from 2 species